CCAGACUCCUACGGGAGGCAGCAGUGGGGAAUAUUGCACAAUGGGGGGAACCCUGAUGCAGCGACGCCGCGUGGGUGAAGAAGUCAUUCGUGACGUAAAGCCCUAUCAGCAGGGAAGAAAAUGACGGUACCUGACUAAGAAGCCCCGGCUGACUACGUGCCAGCAGCCGCGGUAAUACGUAGGGGGCAAGCGUUAUCCGGAUUUACUGGGUGUAAAGGGCGUGCAGCCGGGAAGACAAGUCAGAUGUGAAAUCCCGCGGCUCAACCGCGGAACUGCAUUUGAAACUGUUUUUCUUGAGUACCGGAGAGGUCAUCGGAAUUCCUUGUGUAGCGGUGAAAUGCGUAGAUAUAAGGAAGAACACCAGUGGCGAAGGCGGAUGACUGGACGGCAACUGACGGUGAGGCGCGAAAGCGUGGGGAGCAAACAGGAUUAGAUACCCGGGUA
rnacentral:rRNA from 1 species